CGCCCCGGGCGGGGCGGGGGCACGGGGGGAACGCGAAGAACCUUACCAGGUCUUGACAUACUAUGCAAAUCUAAGAGAUUAGACGUUCCCUUCGGGGCCAUGGAUACAGGUGGUGCAUGGUUGUCGUCAGCUCGUGUCGUGAGAUGUUGGGUUAAGUCCCGCAACGAGCGCAACCCUUAUUAUCAGUUGCCAGCAUUAAGUUGGGCACUCUGGUGAGACUGCCGGUGACAAACCGGAGGAAGGUGGGGAUGACGUCAAAUCAUCAUGCCCCUUAUGACCUGGGCUACACACGUGCUACAAUGGAUGGUACAACGAGUUGCGAACUCGCGAGAGUAAGCUAAUCUCUUAAAGCCAUUCUCAGUUCGGAUUGUAGGCUGCAACUCGCCUACAUGAAGUCGGAAUCGCUAGUAAUCGCGGAUCAGCAUGCCC
rnacentral:rRNA from 2 species